ACUACCUCUGCAGCAUAAAAUCUGCAAUGAUCCAACAUUUAUGUCAGGGAUGUAGGAAGGUCAUGACAUAUGAGUCGAAGGACUAACUAGAUCCCUCAUACAGAGACCAAAAAUAUUUUUGAAAAUAAUUUGUCCUUUAACAGGAUCAGAAUCACAUUUUGUAGGACCAAAUCCAAAGAAUGGUGGAUAUCAGAAAAACUUGAAUUAAAGAACAACUUGAAAAAAGAAUUAAAACGAAAACCUUAUUGUAACUAUUAAUAUUCUUUUUAUUUUUUCACUCUUCAUAGUGAACCUUUUAACAUUUUGUUAUUA
rnacentral:misc_RNA from 1 species